rnacentral:rRNA from 1 species
UCGACGGCAGCACGGGUGCUUGCACCUGGUGGCGAGUGGCGAACGGGUGAGUAAUACAUCGGAACAUGUCCUGUAGUGGGGGAUAGCCCGGCGAAAGCCGGAUUAAUACCGCAUACGAUCUACGGAUGAAAGCGGGGGACCUUCGGGCCUCGCGCUAUAGGGUUGGCCGAUGGCUGAUUAGCUAGUUGGUGGGGUAAAGGCCUACCAAGGCGACGAUCAGUAGCUGGUCUGAGAGGACGACCAGCCACACUGGGACUGAGACACGGCCCAGACUCCUACGGGAGGCAGCAGUGGGGAAUUUUGGACAAUGGGCGAAAGCCUGAUCCAGCAAUGCCGCGUGUGUGAAGAAGGCCUUCGGGUUGUAAAGCACUUUUGUCCGGAAAGAAAUCCUUGGCCCUAAUACGGUCGGGGGAUGACGGUACCGGAAGAAUAAGCACCGGCUAACUACGUGCCAGCAGCCGCGGUAAUACGUAGGGUGCGAGCGUUAAUCGGAAUUACUGGGCGUAAAGCGUGCGCAGGCGGUUUGCUAAGACCGAUGUGAAAUCCCCGGGCUCAACCUGGGAACUGCAUUGGUGACUGGCAGGCUAGAGUAUGGCAGAG